UACGUAGGUGGCGAGCGUUGUCCGGAUUUACUGGGCGUAAAGAGCGCGCAGGCGGUCGAUCAAGUCGGAUGUGAAAGCCCCCGGCUCAACUGGGGAGGGUCAUUCGAUACUGGUCGACUCGAAGGCAGGAGAGGGAAGCGGAAUUCCAGGUGUAGCGGUGAAAUGCGUAGAUAUCUGGAGGAACACCGGUGGCGAAGGCGGCAUCCUGGACCAACACUGACGCUGAGUGAGCGAAAGCCAGGGGAGCAAACGGG
rnacentral:rRNA from 1 species